rnacentral:lncRNA from 1 species
GAGAAUAAUUAUAUGUGUUGAAAAGGUUCAAGUUCGGGGUUGAAUGGGGAAAGUGAAAGGAAAAAGAAAAAGAAAAGCAUUGAGUUCAAAAGAUGAAAAAGAAAAAUGCAUGUGAAAAGAAAAGAAAAGAAGAAAAAAGUUUAUGCAUGUAAAAAGAACUCAAUGUAAAAUGAAAAAGGAAAAAAGUUGGGAAUGAGUGAGAUUGGUUAAAAGAGAGUGUGCUUGAACUUUGAAUGAUGAUUUAAACUCUCUUAACUCAAGGAUUUUGUAUUCUAGAAAAACCAAUUUUUUUUUUGAUAGCCCAACCACAAUACAAGCCUUUGAAAAAGUCCUUGUGAUGACAUAUGCAUGUGAAGAUUUUGAUUGUUUGAGAUGAAUGAUAAUAUUGUUUUAUGUGACAUGUGAAUAGUAGAGAGUAGAGUGACCUCCAUAAACACUUGAGUGAUUGAGUGAAACACUUGCUUGGUGAGAAUUGUUAAAUCCAUGUUUAGUAGAUUGAUCAUUCAUGAACAAAACAUCUGUUGAAAAAACGAUUGAUUAUGUGAACUAAGUUGGAUUGAAAGCAUGGAUGCAUCUUUGUAGGAUUCCAUUGAAAUUUGAAAUUGUAUAAUAACUUGUCAUGA